rnacentral:lncRNA from 1 species
CAUUCCCCUCCCACCCAGGGCAUCGGCGGCAACGGCGAGCCAGCGAGACGCUUGUCCUACAGCGCCUCCUCCUGGACAAAGCUCCAGACAGCCGAAAAGGGACACCACCAGCCCUAGAAAACCUAGAAUAGGCACUUCCUUCCUGGGGCAUCAGAAGUUGAUCCUGCCACGUCCACUGGAGAGGCAAAAAGGAGUCCAAAAGUCCUUGAGGCUACCUCUUACCGCCUCAGCCCCAGCUCAGACAACAAGCCUGUGACCCAGAAGCGAGCAUCUCAUCUCUCGUUGAUUAGCCUUUCCAGAGACUGCACUCCCAGCUCUUGUGUCCACCCAAGAAGAAACCAAGGCCAGGACAUUGGCUCCCCAGUCUAUAAAUAGAGGUUUGGACCCAGGACGCUGGGAGUUUUGCCCAGAAACCUCUAAAACACCCAAGGAUUCAGCAAACACCCAAGAUAUGGAGGACAGACGCUAGAUGUGAAUUCUUAUGCAGUGAAUUAAACAAUAUGUUAUUACAC